UGUCGGCGCGAGACACUCUCCGAUGUCAAAAACCGGUUUCUACGAGUUGCUUCUACUUUAUUAUUGUACUAAAGCCGCGUUAGGUUCAUGUUUAAACGUGUUUAUACGAAUUGAUUACGUCAGCGCGAGGCUCGCGAGCGCAUUACCAUAUAUGGUUCGAAAACGCUUUAUAGGCCUAAUAUGAAACUAUUACCAUAUAUAGUUCGAUACAGCGAGCUACGACAGUCGGGCGCUUUAAAUACGGUGCGACGAUCGCGCUGGCAAUUAUUCUUAAUCGAGUUGUCAGAUUAAUAACAUUACUAAUGUUUGUAACUAAGUAUUAAUGUUAGAAUUUCUAGUCACUGAAAUAUUGUUAUCAAGUGUUCGUUUAAGUUCUUGAUAAAGGUGUAAAAUUAAAGUGAUUGUUUUGUAUCGAAAAUAGUUUUAUUAUGCAACAAACUACCACGAAGUAUAGCAUGAACAUUAUUAUAUUGAAGAUAGUUUUAUUAAGAAGCCUACGUUGGAGACUCUUUUCCGAUAUCAGAAGUUGGAUGAUAAAUCGGCUACCUACUAUUCCGAUUUGAUCCACCUCCUCGUCAGCUCGAAGUUUUCCUGAUGUUUUGUGUAUUGAAGUCGUAUUCAAUUAUUAAAAGAUGAACUGCAGAAAUUUAUCUAACUGAUUAUGGUUGAGGCUGAAGGUCACCGCUCAAUUACCGUGCCGAUAAGUAAUACCUACGUUUUAUUUGAUUUAACAGAAAUUACGGAAGGGUCGUAACGCUUGUGUAGUUAAUGUGAAGAAUCAAAAGUGAGUUCACAAUAUUCUUAUCCACACAAUAACGUCGCAGUGAUGAAAUUAUGUUAAAACACAGACAAGGAGCAAUAUUAUAUAAGCCGCAAGACUGCUUUGUAUCUGGAAUAAAAUGUUAAUAAAUUAACAAGAACACCAUGCUAGUGAGGAUACAAAAAAAAAAAAAAAAAAAAAAACGAGCCACAUUAAAUCUCGACUAAUCAACACUGUAAAACAGGUGAGAUAGUU